GAGGGGAUAGCUCAGUAGUAGAGCGCACGUUUAGCGUGCAUGAGGUCCUGGGUUCAAUCCCCAGUACCCCCA
rnacentral:tRNA from 1 species